CUUGUAUCUUUUUCCUUUAUUGUCCCCAAUUAUCAACUAAACUAGAUUGUCUUAAUCUUUGCUGUGACUUGUACUGGAUGUCGUGAAAAUUUUCUUAAAAACAUUUUUAGGAUGAGGAGAGUGAUGAUGAUUAUUACAAUUUGUACCUGUCUUUGUUUAUAGUAUAAACAAUUGUAAACCAACUUUAUUAUGCCCAUAGGUGUGUGCAACCAUGCGUUUCACUUCCACUGUAUCAGCCGAUGGCUUAAGACCCGUCAAGUGUGUCCUUUAGAUAACAGUGAGUGGGAGUUUCAAAAGUACGGCCACUAGAGUUGGGAAUGGUGCGAUGGGACUUGGUCAUCUCUUGCAGCUGAUUUCAUUGGUUGAUGUAG